rnacentral:rRNA from 1 species
UACGUAGGGGGCAAGCGUUGUCCGGAUUUAUUGGGCGUAAAGAGCUCGUAGGCGGUGUGUCACGUCGGCCGUGAAAACCUGGGGCUUAACUCUGGGCGUGCGGUCGAUACGGGCAUCACUAGAGUUCGGCAGGGGAGACUGGAAUUCCUGGUGUAGCGGUGAAAUGCGCAGAUAUCAGGAGGAACACCGGUGGCGAAGGCAGAUCUCUGGGCCGUAACUGACGCUGAGGAGCGAAAGCAUGGGGAGCGAACAGG